CAGGCUUUGAUUCUCCUCUUAAUUACACCACUGUAAAACAUAAGUAACUCUGGUGCUGUCUUUCAGUUCAUUUGCAAUGAGCUAGUAAAAUUAAGCAGUUAAUUCAGCUAAGUAACAUUACAGUACCUCCUAGCUUUCCCCAAAUAGAAUAGGAUCUCAUAUUGUGUAUGCAGUGCUACUUUCUGUUUACCUCAACAGAGAGUUUUAGCUAGUGAGCAUAAGACUGACCCAACCAGUUUCCAGUCUUCUAACCUCAUCUGCUUAAUAUGAUGCUCAAAUCCUGCACUUGGACAAGAAAAUCAUCACAUCGCAAAUGGUCCAGGGUUUUAAUUUAAGAAGAGCAAGCAAAGAAGUUCUUAAUCAUCUCAUUGUGAGCUACCAAACCCUUUAAUCAAUUCUGGGCCCAAUCCUUUUCCUUCCUAGCCCUUUUGAACUAAAUUCUGGAAAAAGACUCCUAUUGAAGACAACAGGACUUUCCUA
rnacentral:lncRNA from 1 species